GAGAGUAUAGCUCAGUGGUAGAGCAUAUGCUUAGCACGCACGAGGUCCUGGGUUCAAUCCCCAGUACCUCCA
rnacentral:tRNA from 1 species